GAAAAUCGAGGGGGUAUUUAUCAUCACUCAGUCACUGCUAUAAAACCUCCGCCAAAACCCUAACACCGCCCUUAUCUCCCCCUCUCACUCUAGGGUUUAUCAAAGCCCCAAACCCUGGUCGCGAUCAACCAUGGCGACCCAUUUCUUCUCUCGCUCGAUUCCCAAGUCCCAAGCCAUGGCUUCAUUUCUCUCUCGCUCCCUCUCCACCGCCACCUCCGCCACUUCCCUAUCCACCGCCGCCCAAUCUCGUUCUUCUUCGCUCUCUCUCCUCCACCGCCUCCGCCCUCUUGCCGGAGUCAUGGCCUCCGCCGGCAGGCUCUCCCCUGCGAUCGCCCGGUGCUUGUCGACCAGAUCGACGACGUCAUCGCUCAGGGACCCGAACCCUAACUGGUCGAACCGGCCUCCCAAGGAGACGAUCCUCCUCGACGGGUGUGACUUCGAGCACUGGUUGGUUGUCAUGGAGGCCCCUCAGGGUGAUAUCACUAGGGAUGAGAUCAUCAAUAGCUACAUCAAAACCCUAGCUACCGUCGUCGGAAGUGAGGAAGAAGCAAGAAUGAAGAUCUACUCAGUUUCAACUAGGUGCUAUUAUGCGUUUGGGGCACUUGUAUCUGAAGAGGUUUCACUCAAAAUCAAAGAGUUGCCUGGAGUCCGUUGGGUACUUCCUGAUUCCUACUUGGAUGUUAAGAACAAAGAUUAUGGAGGUGAACCUUUUAUUAAUGGCCAAGCAGUGCCAUAUGAUCCCAAGUACCAUGAGGAAUGGAUAAGAAACAAUAGUCGAGCAAAUGAGAGAAACAGGCGUAAUGACAGACCUCGUAACUUUGACAGAUCAAGGAACUUUGAAAGGAGAAGGGAAAAUAUGCAGAAUCGUGAUUUUCAGAAUACGGGUCCAUCUCCUAUGCCUAAUCAAGCUGGGCCAAAUUCGGGACCUGGACCUGCCAACAUGGGUCCUCCACCCCCCAACAGGGGUCCAAUGCAGCCUCCCAACAUGGGUCCUCCACCCCCGAACAGGGCUCCAAUGCCGCCUCCCAACAUGGGUCCACCAAACAACUACAAUAAUCCCCAGCCAAGCAACAACUGGAAUUCUGGGCCACCGAACAGCUAUAAUCAGGUGCCUCCCAACAGCUACAAUCAGAUGCCGCCCAACAACUACAAUCAGAUGCCUCCCAAUAACCCGGGAGGGGUGCCACCAAACAACAUGGCUCCACCUUCUAAUGCAGGAUGGAAUGAUCCUGGACAAUACCAGAAUAACUACACGCCAGACAGGGAUGCUGGAGUCAAUCCUGGUCCAAACCGUUACUAAACUUGAGGCUAGUUGCAGUAUGAUGAGUCUUGUAGGCAUGUUGUAGAUAAACGAGGAGGUUGCUUGAUAUUUCCUUUGGCAUAUUGCUGUGGUCGGAACCUGGUUGCCUUUUAUCCGAAUAUGAUUACACUUUCAAGGUCACAUCUUUUGCGAUUGACAGAAAGCAGACUGCAUGGGGAUCCUUGUUAAAUGGAACAUGUUAAUUUGCAGUCCUCUGUGAAGAUUAUGUGUUGCUAUUCUUUCCUAGAUUGUUUUUGCAUGCUAUGCUCUCACAUUGGUUUUUGCAUAUUUUGGUGAUGAUGUUAUUUUGCUAGAAAACUGUCAUGUUACGUUGUCAA